CCUACGGGAGGCAGCAGUAGGGAAUUUUCGUCAAUGGGCGCAAGCCUGAACGAGCAAUGCCGCGUGAACGAGGAAGGUCUUCGGAUCGUAAAGUUCUGUUGUAGGGGAAAAAGAGCGGGGAGAGGAAAUGCUUUUUGAUUGAUAUUACCCUUCGAGGAAGUCACGGCUAACUACGUGCCAGCCGCCGCGGUAAUGCGUAGGUGGGGAGCGUUAUCCGGAUUGGUUGGGCGUAAAGGGUGCGGUGGCGGCCUGCGAAGUCUGGGGUGAAAGGUACCGGCUCAACCGGUACAGGCUCUGGAAACUGGCGGGCUAGAGAGCAGGAGAGGGCGGUGGAACUCCAUGUGUAGCGGUAAAAUGCGUAGAUAUAUGGAAGAACACCAGUGGCGAAGGCGGUCGCCUGGCCUGUUACUGACGCUGAGGCACGAAAGCGUGGGGAGCAAAUAGGAUUAGAUACCCGAGUAGUC
rnacentral:rRNA from 1 species